ACUCAAAUGAAUUGACGGGGACCCGCACAAGCGGUGGAGCGUGUUCUUUAAUUCGAUGGUAAGCGAAGAACCUUACCAAGGUUUGACAUCUCUGGAAUCUCUUCGAAAGAAGAUAGUGCCUUCGGGAACCAGAUGACAGGUGAUGCAUGGCCGUCGUCAGCUCGUGUCGUGAGAUGUUUGGUUAAGUCCAUCAACGAGCGCAACCCUUAUAGUUAGUUGGAUUUCUCUAGCUAGACUGCCCCGGUAACGGGGAGGAAGGAGGGGAUGAUGUCAGGUCAGUAUUUCCCUUACACCUUGGGCUAGAAACACGCUACAAUGGCCGGUACAAAGGGCAGCCAAGUCGCGAGACGGAGCAAAUCCCAUCAAAACCGGUCCCAGUUCGGAUAGCAGGCUGAAACCCGCCUGCUUGAAGCCGGAAUCGCUAGUAACGGUAAGUCAGCACAUUACCGUGAAUACGUUCCCGGGUCUUGUACACACCGCCCGU
rnacentral:rRNA from 1 species